rnacentral:rRNA from 1 species
CCUAACACAUGCAAGUCGAGCGGAUGAAGAGAGCUUGCUCUCUGAUUUAGCGGCGGACGGGUGAGUAAUGCCUAGGAAUCUGCCUGGUAGUGGGGGAUAACGUUCCGAAAGGAACGCUAAUACCGCGUACGUCCUACGGGAGAAAGCAGGGGACCUUCGGGCCUUGCGCUAUCAGAUGAGCCUAGGUCGGAUUAGCUAGUUGGUGAGGUAAUGGCUCACCAAGGCGACGAUCCGUAACUGGUCUGAGAGGAUGAUCAGUCACACUGGAACUGAGACACGGUCCAGACUCCUACGGGAGGCAGCAGUGGGGAAUAUUGGACAAUGGGCGAAAGCCUGAUCCAGCCAUGCCGCGUGUGUGAAGAAGGUCUUCGGAUUGUAAAGCACUUUAAGUUGGGAGGAAGGGCAGUAAGUUAAUACCUUGCUGUUUUGACGUUACCGACAGAAUAAGCACCGGCUAACUUCGUGCCAGCAGCCGCGGUAAUACGAAGGGUGCAAGCGUUAAUCGGAAUUACUGGGCGUAAAGCGCGCGUAGGUGGUUCGUUAAGUUGGAUGUGAAAGCCCCGGGCUCAACCUGGGAACUGCAUCCAAAACUGGCGAGCUAGAGUACGGUAGAGGGUGGUGGAAUUUCCUGUGUAGCGGUGAAAUGCGUAGAUAUAGGAAGGAACACCAGUGGCGAAGGCGACCACCUGGACUGAUACUGACACUGAGGUGCGAAAGCGUGGGGAGCAAACAGGAUUAGAUACCCUGGUAGUCCACGCCGUAAACGAUGUCAACUAGCCGUUGGAAUCCUUGAGAUUUUAGUGGCGCAGCUAACGCAUUAAGUUGACCGCCUGGGGAGUACGGCCGCAAGGUUAAAACUCAAAUGAAUUGACGGGGGCCCGC